rnacentral:lncRNA from 1 species
UGCUUUCCCCAUGGAGCUUGUAACUGUUGGGUAGUGGGUCGGGAGUCGAGACAGCUGGAUGGGUGUUUAAAUGCAUGGAUCCGUAAUCGAGUACCCAAUCAUCCAUCAGUCGUAUCCAUCCAUCCUUCCCUGCCUCACAUCCUUUUUAUGUGAAGGAGAGAUUGUUAUUUAAAAAAAAAAACAAAACUCCAACAAUUUUUAGCAGAAAAUACCUUUCUACAUGAUAAAUAUGAGAAGGGAAGACAAAACAACCCAAAUUUAUUAAAAAUAAAAUUAAAAAUUAAGUUUUUCUACUUGAUAAAUAAACCCUUCAUUUCUAACAGGACCACCCUUAUGACGACAAAGGAGAAAAAUAAAUAUACAUCAUUUUCUUGAGAAAAUAUAUGUAUAGAAAGAGUCUGAAUCCUCGCCGACGAGUUUAGUUCAAUCAAGUGUUUCUUACUCAAUAAAACAAAAAGAAAAAAAAAUUAUUGUUAUGUAAAAUAAGAGCAGUUGACCAAGAACUACGAAAAUUCUAAGUAAAAAAAAAUGCAUUAUAAUGAUAUCACUUAUCAUAAUUUUAUUUUCAUUAAAACAUUAAUACAAUAUUCUUGCAAAUAUUGGUGAGUUUUGUCAUAAUUAUUAGCAUGCUAAGUGGCAUAAAGAUUUUGAUGCUUGAGGUCAAUAUCCGCCCACUUAUUUCUAUAUUAAAAAUUGCAUAAAUCCUCUUAUACCUACGCAAAUGAUAGCAUUUGGUACCAAUUAUCUCAUGCCGUAAGGCAUGCCAUUAAGAAAGAUAGGUCAUGUGGUAGCAAUCAGGGCAUCCUCUGUAGCUUUCUUAAAGAGGGGCUAAAAUUUUUGUUCUUCGACAGCAGAGAUAGGAAGAGAGGGGGGAAAGAGGUGCAAGUAAUUAUAGAACAGGAUGUACGUACGUUUAGCUCUAAAACCUCAUUUUUGAGACGUAGGCUUCUGCCCUUUGACACGUGCCACGCACGUGCCCAACACUAUAUGCUAUUCCCUUUCUCUGAGCUGACGUCACACUCUGUUGCCUCCCUUUAACCUUUCCAUCUACCACCCUCUAACCUGAGAGACAGAGAGAGAGGAAGCAAAGUAUGGAGCUCAGCUCUCAGCCUCAUAGCCAGCGUCCUUCGCCUUACACAACAACAAAUAAACACCCCCACCAACAGUAGAGAGAGAUACAGAAACUCAGAGUAAAAGGAAGAGAGAGAUCUCUCCUUCAGUGGGUCGACUCAGGUUUCCUUAGCCUUUGUGAAGCAAGCCAGCCAGCCCUUGCCACAAGAAAUUAAAGAGCUAGCAAGCCACCAGAGAGAAGGAGAGAAACACCAAUCCAAAAGAAAGAGGAAGAGCCAUGCCACUACUAGCUACUACCUUCCAAGAGAAAGCAAGCAAGAAUACCAACAUAUGGGCAGCACUGCAGUCCUAUUUCUCCUGUUUUCCAGUAUCAGAUUUUUGAAAAUAGAGCCGAUAGCACUGCAGAUCUGAGACUUCUUACCUCUAUUAUUUUAGUAUAGUAGUGAAAAACCGAAAAAAAGAAAGCAAAAUUUGGAAGUAGAAGAAGAAGAAGAGAAGCAAUAAAUAAGAUCCGGAAGAUGCAGUCAGGAUAUGGAAGCGUAUCGGAGAUCCAGCAAUUCAUGAUGGAGAAUUGCGGCAGCUCCAUCUUCUCCAUCUCCUCCGCCACCCCUCCGAACCCCUCGGUGCCGACCGGCCCGGCCGACAUCCAUGCCGCCACCUCCCAGCCUCUCAGGUACCGCCCCCUCCACACCCCACCACCACCACCAACACGCAGCCCCAGACCCCGCCGCCGCUCCCUCCACACUUCUCCCACUUCCAUUCCAUCCCAAUCACUCAGCAGCUCUUCCAGCAGAGCCACCAGUUCCAGCUGUUCCAUCCCCAGCCCCAAGAGCAAAGAAGGCUCAUCCCCCAGCACCAGCUAGGCUUGGAUCAGGAGUCCGGCCCCGAGAACUCCACCGGAGGCGGCGGUGGCGGGCCGAGUUUUCUUGCCACCACGAUGAAUUUCAAGCUGGCGGUGAAUGAGAGCAGCGGCGGUGGCAGCCGGGAGGGACUGAACGACGAGGACAGCAUCCUCCAGGGCGACGAUGGGUCCGAGAGCCGGCUCCACCACCACUGGCAGAGAGAGGAGGAAUCAGCCAUCAAGGAGCCCUCAUGGUAAUUACUCGCCCAAUUUUCUCUCAUCUAGUCUCCAUCUCAGAAGAUCUCAAGUUGGUUUUCGGACUUUUUCCAAAUCUAGUUCUUCAAAUUCUUGGUUUCAGAUAAUUUCCUCAUUCUCUAACUGAGCCAAAGAGCUGCCCUAGCCAGUAUUAAUGCAUGACUGUGAGGCUUAAAUAGAAUUAAACAGUUGAAUCAGGAAACACGAUGAUGAUUCCUAAGGAAAGUUAGGUCGGAGAAGACCUUACAAAAGAAAGGCUAAAAGAAGGGAAGAAGCUCUUUUCUCGAUCUUCUUUUUUGUGUCUUUCUCCAUAACAAAAUGUGGGAUUUUUUGAAUUGUAAAAUUUAGCAACUUAGAAGAUGUCCACGACUUUUGAAUUAUAUAUCCUUGCUGGUGCUUUUUCCUCCUCCUCUUCUUCUUUAUCUUUCUUUUCUUUGGCUUGUUAUCAUUGCAGGAGGCCCUUGGAUAUAGAUUACGUUAAUAGGAACAACAAGAGGUACAAGGAGAAGGAGCCCGAGACACCAACAAACAAGUACUGCAAGAAGAGCAAAGAGGGAGCCGAGCCGGACCCCGGUGGCCACAUAAUCGGUGGCAACAACUACAAGCUCUUCAGCGAGCUCGAGGCCAUCUACAAGCCCGGCGGUAGCAUUAUAGGUGCUGGUGGUGGUGGUCCCAACCGAGCCGGCUCUGGCUCUGCUCUCACCGGCGACGAGACCGCCCUCAUGCCGGCCGCCACCAACCCUCCGGGACUGGCAGCUGAUCACCUCGUCGGUGGCUCGGAGACGUCGGCCGGAGAGGAGGUACCCGUGAAGAAAUUCUCCAAGGGAAGUGGGAGGAGGAAGAGGAAGCGGCGGCAGCAGAAGCAGCUGAGCUCGAUCACCGCCUUCUUCGAGAACCUGGUGAAGCAGCUGAUGGACCACCAAGAGAGCCUCCACCGGAAAUUCCUGGAAGUGAUGGAGAGGAGGGACCAGGAGAGGACGGUCCGGGAGGAGGCCUGGCGGCGCCAGGAGGCCGCCAAGUCCAGCCGCGAGGCCGCCGCCCGGGCCCAGGAGCGUGCCCUCGCCUCCUCCCGUGAGGCCGCCAUCAUCUCCUUCCUCGAGAAGAUCACCGGCGAGACCCUCCGCCUCCCGGAGAAGCCCCAAUUCCAAGCCCAAUUCCCUGAAGAACCUGCCGAAACCACCGAGAACCUCCCCAUCGAGCCCUCGAACGCCGCGAACAAUGGCGAUAGCAACACCGACAAGGUCCUCUUCAACAUCAGCCGGUGGCCCAAGGCGGAGGUUCACGCUCUGAUCAGGGUGCGAAGCGGGCUCGAGUCGAGGUUCCAGGAGCCCGGACUGAAGGGUCCACUCUGGGAGGAGGUGAGCUCGACGAUGGCCGCCAUGGGCUACCACCGGAGCGCGAAGCGGUGCAAGGAGAAGUGGGAGAACAUCAACAAAUACUUCAGGAAGACAAAGGAAAGUGGCAAGAAGCGGCCGCAGCACUCCAAGACCUGCCCUUACUUCCACCAAUUGGACCAGCUCUACUCCAAGUCCCUCAACAAGUCCCAACCCGCUUCCUCCUCCUCCCCCAAUGCCAAUGUGGCCAGUGCCACCACUUCCGGCACGGCCACCGAUCAAGGGAAGGAUCACUCCGAGCUCCUCGACGCCAUCAUCGUGUCCACCGAUCAGCAAGGCUUCAAGUUCCCUGAAAUGAGCUCGCUGCAGUUUGACUUCAAUGGCACAGACAAGGACAAUAACGAGCUCCAUCGCAAAGUAGGGAACAACGGCGAAGAAGAAGAGGACGACGAUGACGACGACGAAGAGGGAGGACGUAGAGAGAAGGCAGAGGAAAGAGAAGAAGGAGAAGGGGAGAGCCAAGUUCAACCCCACCAAGAGGAGCACCACCAACAUGACUCCAACCUCUUCUUCCAAAGUCUCCAAUCCUAGAGCUAGUUAAUUACCUCCAAUAGGUAAUCCUCUUCCAUGUUGACUGAUAGACCACUCUCCCUUUCUUCUCAAAUCUUGCAAUGUUUUCAUAUUGUUUUCGAACUAGAAACCAGUUUAGGACAUAUCAUCAGCAGCACUAGUAAAUGAAUAAGAUCAUCAGUGUACAUUAAUAUCCCACUAGGGGGUAAAUCUGUUCUUCAAAUUGUGAUCAUCACCUCUCUCUCAUCCAUUUCCAUUUUCCUUAUAGCUUACAAGACUGAAUAAUGCUCUCCUUAGCUCUGAGCAAGAACCAGUAAGAACUAAAAGCAAAAGCACAGAGGCUUGCACCAUGUCAUCCAAGUCUUUCAUUUAUGUUUAUUUAUUCAGUUUUCAAAGUUUCCACGCUAUAAGAUUGUCACGGUUACCGAUAUGGUAAUCUCUGGAUAUUCUCCGGCCUUGCAUGGCUUAGACGGAGACGAGUGUUUUUGAAUUAAGUUAAUGGUUGUUGGAGUUUGAAUGAUCGGAGAGAGAUGGAGAGCCGUGAUGGGGAGCGUGCGUGGGUUUGCGGUGUCGGGAGGGCGUGACGUCAGUGAUUGAAACCCGCACGGCGCUGCUCAUGCACGAGGUCCGCAGAGGAGGACUCCCUCGGGCCCCACCGGCUUUGAAGCCCAUUUAAAAAGCCUCAGAGACGAUGAGAGAGAAAGCUCUCUCUCUCUCUUUCCUCUCUAUCACUCCCGCUCCAGCUCGCUUCUCCUGUUUGUUCUCUCUCUCUAACCCCACCUCCUCGUCUAAUUUUGUACGGUGUGGGCUCCUAAACCACAGGUCCACUGCUUGGCAUAUAAAUGUUCUCUCGUCUCCACCCAUUCCCCCCUAUGAGCGGCCUCGGUACCCGGUUUGGCACCCGGCCAAGCUCCUUUUUGUUUUGGUCUAACACAACAGCAUGCAGGCUGGCUGGUUGUUUUCUCUCAUUUUUCCCCACUUGGCAAUUCCUGAGGGUCUACUGCAGUCUUGCUGUAGAGAGCGUGUUACAGCAUACUGUGCUUCGGCAACACAUGGAUGAUGUCUCUCUAAACAGUGGUAAUAAUAUGUUUGUUAGUACAACGUACACUUUCUUCUUUUGAUGCAAUGGAUCCUUAAUGCAUGGCUGCAUCAUAGGCUAGUUAUGUAGUACAUACUAUUGGGCAUGGUUAGGGUUAAUCGAUGUCUAACUCCGAUGAUCCAAUGGUUGGUCAUAACUCAUGUUAAACUAUAAUAGUGAUCCAAUGGCCAACACCAAUCCACACAGGCACAUGUUUUACUCAUCGAUCGAAAUGAGUAGCUCUUUAUUGAAAAAAAAACAAAAAUCUAAAUGAGUAGUUCUGCAUAUAACAAGAUCGAAUGGUUCAUUGAUAUAAUCUAGUUGGUUAAAGAUGACCGAGUUCUUUGCAGCUUGAAUUAAUACGAGCAUGAGUAGACAUCGUUCGGUCAGAAAGACAUGCAAGUACAGUUCUACUCAGCUAAAUAGGCCUAAUCGGGCAUGGUCUACCAUCUAGGUAAGAGGAAUUUCUACACUUUAUCUACAUGGAAGAUUUUGAUGGGUCCAGAAAGAGUGCAAGAAAAUUCUUCUAAUCAACAUUUUGAGUAGAUUAAAUGCAUAUGUCAUUGUCGCACAAUCAUUGAAAAUUUGCUAGGUAUUUCUAUAGUCGGAUUUCUUGUAAGAAUUUCCUACGUGCAGAUAGGGUUGUAAGGAUUCAAACUAGAAAUAAUCAUAUACCUCCAAAAUCUAGCAUGAAUUUCAAAUCACCUAGAAUAUUCGGCGUGGAAAAAAAAAAAAAAAGGGAUUCCAUUUUGACCCAAUCCUAUGGUGGCAUUUGAAUUCUCUUGAUAGGCUGCCAUCAUAAUGCUGCCAAUUAUUAAUCUAAUACUAGUUGCAUGUUGAAAACAUGUCAAUGUAGACAAAUGUUGAAACAGGACUAGUCCAUCACUGAUUAGAGUGGCAAAUUUUUCUCUCUCUCAUUUUUCUUGGUUUUGGUACCGGCACUUGCCACUCUUGUUCCUUCCCCCAAGCACAAGGAUAAGGAAAUGAAAUCAAAGGAUGCAAGAAAAUGGUGAUUAAAGAAUUUUUCCGCAUGCAAAUAAAAAACAAUAGAAGGCACAGGGGAGUUAAAGACACAAUUAAAGGAUAAUCAUGCUAUGAAUAUUUUCCAUGUACUUUCCUAGACGCCAAUUUUUCAGUAAGUGUACCCUAUUUUGGUACAGGUUAAUUCUCUUUAUUUUAUGACAUGGACAUGAUUCCUGGUUUGAUGAGCAUCAUGACCUGAGGACAAUUAUAGGAUACUGCGCCAUACUGUACAAGCAUAAGGUAGCUCGGCAUUAUUUAUAGCUAAUGCAGCACUCUCCGAUUACUUCCUCUGGACUGACACCGUAUAACAUAUCAAACAGUUGAGCAAUGAAAAGCAGUCGUUGAGGGAGAUUUUCGAGUUACUAAAUGAUUUUUUGAUUGUUUCAGAAUCUUAGAAUUUGGUGCAAGUUCGUAUCAUUUCUCAUGGAGACCUGUUGGUUCGAUCGGUUGUCUCAUUUUAUGAAAUCAUUUUCAUAAAACCCAGAUCUUAUAAAAAGACAGGUUUUAGAUUUGGUGAUCAGAAAAAACUAAUUUUGUUCAGAAAAAAGAGAGUCGAAAUUGGAUUCUAAAAAGCACAUGAAAGGACCAAUGAUCCAAAAAUGAAUAUAAGUCCAUUCGCAUGGUCAUAAUUAACUCCUGUAGCUUCCUGGGGGAGAGAUUAUUCCUAAAGCCUGAAGGCACAAGAAGAAAGUCUCCACGACUGAAGGAGAGGGUUGAGACUUGUUGCCAGUCGGUUGAGAAUAGUGAUGAAUGUCAUGCUGAGGGUCAAGUGAGAGAGGUCCAUGCGGUCUCCUCUUAGCAAGGAGAAAAUAUUUUUGCAUGAUGGGCUUGGAUAUAUAGUAUUGCAAGAUGUUUUUCAGGACUUGGUCUUACGAGAAACAUCUUCCAGUUUUAUCUAAAAGCUAGGAAGAGAAACCCAAUACAUACAAAUCGGAAGAGACGGAUAUUAUUAUAAUAAAUAAAGGAUAUGUACUCAUUUUUAAUCAAUAUAAAAUAAGAAGAGAGAAAAGGGAUUUGAGUCUUAUUUUUAUAAUUUUUUUUUUUAUAAAAUUUAAGUUGAGCAAGUUGAAGAAAAAUCUCCCUUCCGCUCGGAGUCAACAAAAGUUAAGUUUAACCUCUCCUAAAAGAUUCAUCAUCCCGAUACUAGAUUCUAUGACAAAAUUAAUACAGUACGGCAAGAUGCUCCCAUAUGAUAUGAUAUUUCGGAUAGCAUCCCUGCCAUAUGAUACUUCCGGUACAAUGCGAUGCAUAUUGAUAUCAUGAAAUUUGAUCUCAUUCAAAUAUAAGUAUUUGUUAAAGCAGGUUUUAUAUAUUACUUUUUAUUUUGUUAAAAUUAAUCAAACAAACAGCUCCUAGCUAAAUGCAUAAAAGAAGACGAGAAGCAGCAUUCACUGGUCAUUUUCUAAAACAACAAAGAAACCUUUCGAAAUUUGCUUUUACGACUGCGAUCGAUCGCAAGUGGGCCCUAUACUCAUAUACAUGCGAGACCAUUCAACGAAUACACAAUAAAUAGUUCAAGAAUGUGGGACAGGUAUAUGACAUUACCAGUGAUAAGGAAGCUAUAGCAAACCCCAUCAAUCCACAACCAUGUGUCUUUGGACAUCGUGGUGGAUGAAACAGACACGGCUCCCUCCCCUUCAAUCCAUAUAUUUCAAAGAUACGGAAUUCCAUCGACGAGAUCGCGUGAUGUGCAUGCCUUCCCUGGUUACUAUCAUGACUUGAUUUGUUCCACCAUUCCUAUCUAAAUUCCCGGAUGGAGCAGGUGCAUGCAAAGGAGGAAACACUAGAAACAGUCCCCCUUAUAAGCGCUGGUGUGAUGGUUGUCCUUAUUAGGCUUCUCUCUCUCUCUCUCUCUCUCUCU